CCCUUAGAUGUUCUGGGCUGCACGCGUGCUACACUGAUUGUUUCAACAAGUGUUUUAACUGGAGAGUUCGCGUAAUCCUGAAAUGUUAUCGUGAUGGGAGUAGAGUAUUGUAUUUGUUAAUCUUUAACGAGGAAUUCCUAGUAAGUGUAGGUUUAUAAGUUGUUCUGAUUACGUCCCUGCCCUUUGUACACACCGCCCGUCGCUCCUACCGAUUGAUUGAUCCGGUGAAUUACAUAGAAUUUUGCGUUUUACAUGACGGAAGACGAAGUGUUUUAAACCUUAUCAUUUAGAGGAAGGAGAAGUCGUAACA
rnacentral:rRNA from 1 species